AGUUUAGCUAAUGUUGCCCGUACCGUAAACCGACACAGGUGGGUGGGAUGAGUAUUCUAAGGCGCGUGGAAGAACUCUCUUUAAGGAACUCUGCAAAAUAGCACCGUAUCUUCGGUAUAAGGUGUGGUUCGCUUCGUAUUAGGAUUUACUCCGAAAGCGAAGAAACUUACAACAAAGAGUCCCUCCCGACUGUUUACCAAAAACACAGCACUCUGCUAACUCGUAAGAGGAUGUAUAGGGUGUGACGCCUGCCCGGUGCUCGAAGGUUAAUUGAUGGGGUUAGCAUUAGCGAAGCUCUUGAUCGAAGCCCGAGUAAACGGCGGCCGUAACUAUAACGGUCCUAAGGUAGCGAAAUUCCUUGUCGGUUAAAUACCGACCUGCAUGAAUGGCGUAACGAGAUGGGAGCUGUCUCAAAGAGGGAUCCAGUGAAAUUGUAGUGGAGGUGAAAAUUCCUCCUACCCGCGGCAAGACGGAAAGACCCCGUGGACCUUUACUACAGCUUGACACUGCUAUUUGGAUAAGAAUGUGCAGGAUAGGUGGGAGGCUUUGAGUAUAUGACGCCAGUUGUAUAUGAGCCAUUGUUGAGAUACCACUCUUUCUUAUUUGGGUAGCUAACCAGCUUGAGUUAUCCUCAAGUGGGACAAUGUCUGGUGGGUAGUUUGACUGGGGCGGUCGCCUCCCAAAUAAUAACGGAGGCUUACAAAGGUUGGCUCAGAACGGUUGGAAAUCGUUCGUAGAGUAUAAAGGUAUAAGCCAGCUUAACUGCAAGACAUACAAGUCAAGCAGAGACGAAAGUCGGUCUUAGUGAUCCGGUGGUUCUGUGUGGAAGGGCCAUCGCUCAAAGGAUAAAAGGUACCCCGGGGAUAACAGGCUGAUCUCCCCCAAGAGCUCACAUCGACGGGGAGGUUUGGCACCUCGAUGUCGGCUCAUCGCAUCCUGGGGCUGGAGCAGGUCCCAAGGGUAUGGCUGUUCGCCAUUUAAAGCGGUACGCGAGCUGGGUUCAGAACGUCGUGAGACAGUUCGGUCCCUAUCUGCCGUGGGCGUAAGAAGAUUGAAGAGAUUUGACCCUAGUACGAGAGGACCGGGUUGAACAAACCACUGGUGUAGCUGUUGUUCUGCCAAGAGCAUCGCAGCGUAGCUAAGUUUGGAACGGAUAAACGCUGAAAGCAUCUAAGCGUGAAGCCAACUCUAAGAUGAAUCUUCUCUAAGCUCUCUAGAAGACUACUAGUUUGAUAGGCUGGGUGUGUAAUGGAUGAAAGUCCUUUAGCUGACCAGUACUAAUAGAGCGUUUGGCUUAUCUUUUUUAUAAGCAU
rnacentral:rRNA from 1 species